rnacentral:tRNA from 1 species
GUCCCUGUGGCCUAAAGGAUAAGGCACAGGCCUCCGGAGCCUGGCAUGGCAGUUCGAUUCUGCCCAGGGACA